rnacentral:rRNA from 1 species
GGGUUGUGAGGUUAAGCGACUAAGCGUACACGGUGGAUGCCCUGGCAGUCAGAGGCGAUGAAGGACGUGCUAAUCUGCGAUAAGCGUCGGUAAGGUGAUAUGAACCGUUAUAACCGGCGAUUUCCGAAUGGGGAAACCCAGUGUGAUUCGUCACACUAUCAUUAACUGAAUCCAUAGGUUAAUGAGGCGAACCGGGGGAACUGAAACAUCUAAGUACCCCGAGGAAAAGAAAUCAACCGAGAUUCCCCCAGUAGCGGCGAGCGAACGGGGAGCAGCCCAGAGCCUGAAUCAGUGUGUGUGUUAGUGGAAGCGUCUGGAAAGGCGCGCGAUACAGGGUGACAGCCCCGUACACAAAAAUGCACAUGCUGUGAGCUCGAUGAGUAGGGCGGGACACGUGGUAUCCUGUCUGAAUAUGGGGGGACCAUCCUCCAAGGCUAAAUACUCCUGACUGACCGAUAGUGAACCAGUACCGUGAGGGAAAGGCGAAAAGAACCCCGGCGAGGGGAGUGAAAAAGAACCUGAAACCGUGUACGUACAAGCAGUGGGAGCACAGAGCAAUCUGUGUGACUGCGUACCUUUUGUAUAAUGGGUCAGCGACUUAUAUUCUGUAGCAAGGUUAACCGAAUAGGGGAGCCGAAGGGAAACCGAGUCUUAACUGGGCGUUAAGUUGCAGGGUAUAGACCCGAAACCCGGUGAUCUAGCCAUGGGCAGGUUGAAGGUUGGGUAACACUAACUGGAGGACCGAACCGACUAAUGUUGAAAAAUUAGCGGAUGACUUGUGGCUGGGGGUGAAAGGCCAAUCAAACCGGGAGAUAGCUGGUUCUCCCCGAAAGCUAUUUAGGUAGCGCCUCGUGAAUUCAUCUCCGGGGGUAGAGCACUGUUUCGGCAAGGGGGUCAUCCCGACUUACCAACCCGAUGCAAACUGCGAAUACCGGAGAAUGUUAUCACGGGAGACACACGGCGGGUGCUAACGUCCGUCGUGAAGAGGGAAACAACCCAGACCGCCAGCUAAGGUCCCAAAGUCAUGGUUAAGUGGGAAACGAUGUGGGAAGGCCCAGACAGCCAGGAUGUUGGCUUAGAAGCAGCCAUCAUUUAAAGAAAGCGUAAUAGCUCACUGGUCGAGUCGGCCUGCGCGGAAGAUGUAACGGGGCUAAACCAUGCACCGAAGCUGCGGCAGCGACGCUUAUGCGUUGUUGGGUAGGGGAGCGUUCUGUAAGCCUGCGAAGGUGUGCUGUGAGGCAUGCUGGAGGUAUCAGAAGUGCGAAUGCUGACAUAAGUAACGAUAAAGCGGGUGAAAAGCCCGCUCGCCGGAAGACCAAGGGUUCCUGUCCAACGUUAAUCGGGGCAGGGUGAGUCGACCCCUAAGGCGAGGCCGAAAGGCGUAGUCGAUGGGAAACAGGUUAAUAUUCCUGUACUUGGUGUUACUGCGAAGGGGGGACGGAGAAGGCUAUGUUGGCCGGGCGACGGUUGUCCCGGUUUAAGCGUGUAGGCUGGUUUUCCAGGCAAAUCCGGAAAAUCAAGGCUGAGGCGUGAUGACGAGGCACUACGGUGCUGAAGCAACAAAUGCCCUGCUUCCAGGAAAAGCCUCUAAGCAUCAGGUAACAUCAAAUCGUACCCCAAACCGACACAGGUGGUCAGGUAGAGAAUACCAAGGCGCUUGAGAGAACUCGGGUGAAGGAACUAGGCAAAAUGGUGCCGUAACUUCGGGAGAAGGCACGCUGAUAUGUAGGUGAAGUCCCUCGCGGAUGGAGCUGAAAUCAGUCGAAGAUACCAGCUGGCUGCAACUGUUUAUUAAAAACACAGCACUGUGCAAACACGAAAGUGGACGUAUACGGUGUGACGCCUGCCCGGUGCCGGAAGGUUAAUUGAUGGGGUUAGCGCAAGCGAAGCUCUUGAUCGAAGCCCCGGUAAACGGCGGCCGUAACUAUAACGGUCCUAAGGUAGCGAAAUUCCUUGUCGGGUAAGUUCCGACCUGCACGAAUGGCGUAAUGAUGGCCAGGCUGUCUCCACCCGAGACUCAGUGAAAUUGAACUCGCUGUGAAGAUGCAGUGUACCCGCGGCAAGACGGAAAGACCCCGUGAACCUUUACUAUAGCUUGACACUGAACAUUGAGCCUUGAUGUGUAGGAUAGGUGGGAGGCUUUGAAGUGUGGACGCCAGUCUGCAUGGAGCCGACCUUGAAAUACCACCCUUUAAUGUUUGAUGUUCUAACGUGGACCCGUAAUCCGGGUUGCGGACAGUGUCUGGUGGGUAGUUUGACUGGGGCGGUCUCCUCCUAAAGAGUAACGGAGGAGCACGAAGGUUGGCUAAUCCUGGUCGGACAUCAGGAGGUUAGUGCAAUGGCAUAAGCCAGCUUGACUGCGAGCGUGACGGCGCGAGCAGGUGCGAAAGCAGGUCAUAGUGAUCCGGUGGUUCUGAAUGGAAGGGCCAUCGCUCAACGGAUAAAAGGUACUCCGGGGAUAACAGGCUGAUACCGCCCAAGAGUUCAUAUCGACGGCGGUGUUUGGCACCUCGAUGUCGGCUCAUCACAUCCUGGGGCUGAAGUAGGUCCCAAGGGUAUGGCUGUUCGCCAUUUAAAGUGGUACGCGAGCUGGGUUUAGAACGUCGUGAGACAGUUCGGUCCCUAUCUGCCGUGGGCGCUGGAGAACUGAGGGGGGCUGCUCCUAGUACGAGAGGACCGGAGUGGACGCAUCACUGGUGUUCGGGUUGUCAUGCCAAUGGCACUGCCCGGUAGCUAAAUGCGGAAGAGAUAAGUGCUGAAAGCAUCUAAGCACGAAACUUGCCCCGAGAUGAGUUCUCCCUGACCCUUUAAGGGUCCUGAAGGAACGUUGAAGACGACGACGUUGAUAGGCCGGGUGUGUAAGCGCAGCGAUGCGUUGAGCUAACCGGUACUAAUGAACCGUGAGGCUUAACCUUACAACGCCGAAGGUGUUU